AGGGAAUCUUCCACAAUGGACGAAAGUCUGAUGGAGCAACGCCGCGUGAGUGAUGAAGGUUUUCGGAUCGUAAAACUCUGUUGUAAGGGAAGAACCAGUACGUCAGGCAAUGGACGUACCUUGACGGUACCUUAUUAGAAAGCCACGGCUAACUACGUGCCAGCAGCCGCGGUAAUACGUAGGUGGCAAGCGUUGUCCGGAAUUAUUGGGCGUAAAGCGCGCGCAGGUGGUUUCUUAAGCUGAUGUGAAAGCCCACGGCUUAACCGUGGGGUCAAUGGGAACCGGGAGAAUUGGAGGCAGAAGAAGGAAGGUGGAUUCCAAGGUGUACGGGGGAAUGCGUAGAGAUUUGGAAGAACCCCAGGUGGGAAAGGCGCUUUUUUGGCUUCAAAUGAAGCUUGGGCGCGAAAACAUGGGGAGCAAACA
rnacentral:rRNA from 1 species